rnacentral:rRNA from 1 species
GUUUGGUCCUAGCCUUAUUAUUAACUGUUUCUCAAUUUACACAUGCAAGUCUCCGCGCCCCAGUGAGAAAAUCCUUACAAGCCUUAAUCAGUCUUUAGGAUCGGCAUCAGGCACAUCUAAAAAGCCCAUAACGUCAAGUCUCGCCACACCCCCAAGGGUAAUCAGCAGUGAUAAACUUUGUUUAUAAGSGUAAGCUUGAUUCAGUCAGAGAAAAGAGAGCCGGCCAAUCUGGUGCCAGCCGCCGCGGCUACACCAUGAGGCUCAAGUUAAUAAUUAUCGGCGUCAAGCGUGAUUAAAGUUCUAAAAAAUUAGGAUUAAAUUAACACUUAGUAGUUAUAAGCUUGUUGUUAAGAAAAAUACAAACGAAAGUUAUCCUAACAAUUCACUUGAAUACACGACAGCUGGGAACACAAACYGGGAUUAGAUACCCCAUUAUGCCCAACCGUAAACAAUUAACUUACACCUACCAAC